rnacentral:miRNA from 1 species
ACAGUGGCUGGCACAUCUUGGGU